AGGACGAACGCUGGCGGCGUGCCUAACACAUGCAAGUCGAACGAGGUCCAACCGGUGGCAACACUGGUGAAGACCUAGUGGCGAACGGGUGAGUAUCACGUGAGCAACCUGCCCCGAAGACUGGGAUAACACCGGGAAACCGGUGCUAAUACCGGAUACCCCCACCGGAUCGCAUGGUCUGGUGAGGAAAUGAAUUUUGCUUUGGGAGGGACUCGCGGCCUAUCAGCUUGUUGGUGGUGUAACGGACCACCAAGGCUUCGACGGGUAGCUGGUCUGAGAGGACGAUCAGCCACACUGGGACUGAGACACGGCCCAGACUCCUACGGGAGGCAGCAGUGGGGAAUCUUGCGCAAUGGGCGAAAGCCUGACGCAGCAACGCCGCGUGAGGGACGAAGGCCUUCUGGGUUGUAAACCUCUUUCAGCAGGGACGAUGAUGACGGUACCUGCAGAAGAGCCCGGCCAACUACGUGCCAGCAGCCGCGGU
rnacentral:rRNA from 1 species